UACGGGGGGAGCAAGCGUUGUUCGGAUUUACUGGGCGUAAAGGGCGCGUAGGUGGCCUUCUUAGUCAGACGUGAAAUCCCCAGGCUUAACCUGGGAACUGCGUCUGAUACUGGAAGGCUCGAGUUCGGGAGAGGAAUGUGGAAUUCCAGGUGUAGCGGUGAAAUGCGUAGAUAUCUGGAGGAACACCGGUGGCGAAGGCGGAUCUCUGGGACGUUACUGACACUGAGGCGCGAAAGCGUGGGGAGCGAACAGG
rnacentral:rRNA from 1 species